ensembl:lncRNA
GGCCGCCCUUGGAAAUGCCCCAGAGCUCACUUCCUAUUCCUGGAAGGAGGUAUAAUUGCAGUGAGUGGUUUGGUGGCAUUUUGAAACUCUCCCACAGGCAUCCAGGGGAGUUAUGCUGCAUUUGGGCUGGGCUGGUUUCGUACAAAAUGUGGGCAGGAUGUGCAAUGAUGGAGUGACUCUGAGAGUCAGACAGAAGGGAGGGAAGAAAGAAGUGGAUAAAUCCCAGGUCCCAGUUUCCUGCAUGUCCAAGAAGUCUGACCUGUUGCAACUUGCCUCUCCAUGGAAAUCUCAGGUUCCUGCAAGCAUUUGUGGUCAGACCUAUCUGCUGGUCCCAGAGGUACCUGCCCAUCACCAGAGAUGUGUGGGAAGCAUAAACAGGACAAGGGCAGGGGAAUGUGUGUUUGGAGAGGUGAAAGGCCAGGCAGAAAACACAAGUGCCUUGCUCCUGGGAAAGGCAAUAGAGAGCAAGUUGCAGAAGUCCUGUGUUGUGCACCUCACCCUUCCCUCCAAAACAGAUGGGAGCCAGCUGACAGAAAUCCUCUGCUUCUUUCUGGAACACAUGCAGCUUGGUUGGCAGGAAAAGACUGAAAAAUAUCAUUGCAAUUAGUGUGGAGAAACUUGAAGCUACAACACCAUCAGCAAUUCUGCAGAAUGAAGCAUAACAGUGCAAAAAGACUAAGUGAUGCUGUGCAAGCCAUAUGGGUGGGUUUUUUCAGGGAAUGCUGGCUAAUUUUUAAUAGAUCAGCUGGAUGGGCAAAUUCCUGAGUUUUUAUGGCAGGGAAUGGAAUGAAAGCAAGUCUGUUGGAUGGACAUCUCUGGUGUUUCAGAAGGUGGAUAUGAGAACCUCUGAGGGUUUAAUAUUGCUGGAAAAAACUCUUUAAUGGCAAUCUGCCUGAGCUGGGGUUACAGAAUCUCAGUCAAAUUCAGGAGCAGAGGAAUGAGAUCAAUACAGAGCAGAGUACCAAUUAACAGCCCAGGUUUUCAAGAGCAUCCUUCAUUUAUCCUCUAAAAUUUCCUUUGUCUCUGUCACAGCCCUGUAGAGAGCACUGAAAUUUCCCUUCUAAGUUAUGAAGCAGAUUGCAGCAAGCUGGAGAAGUGACACCGUAUACAUUAGAAAUCAGUGUUAAUCAUACAUAGAAAAACAACUUCCAAGUUUAAAUAUGUAUAUAGUUCCUUGCCUUAGAUCAGAGACUUACUUGAGAAACAAACAUGAUUUGUUAAGUAAAUGCUUUUUUAAUUCUCCUCAGAGAUAUGUUUUCUUAAAAUAUAGUGUAUAUAAUGCAGUCACAUUAGGGAAAAUACAAACUACAUUGAAUAGGCUUAGAUCAGUAUUUUCCUCUGAGAGCCAGACAGUUUCCCCUCCCCCCUAGCAUCCCAGCAAACACUGAAAAGCAACUCAGGCUGGACUUCGAAUUUCACAAUUUCGAUUUGUUGGGUUCAGCUGGUUCCCUUUUCAGGGCAGGUCUCUACCGAGAACCAGCCAGGGUGGGUUUUAACCCUUAUCUCCCUUCCUUCCAUUUUUAUGAAAUUGUGCUUUUGCUGCCUGUGAGGAGCAGUGGCAAAACGCUUCAAGCCCCCGAGUGGAGCUGUCAGUGAGCAGCCCAGAG